ACCUGGAAUGUGUUACCGUAUAAAAAUUUUCCUUAAACCACAGCACUGCUAUAAAUAUGGGUUUCAUUUAUGAAGCACUGCAGUCUGCAUAGUGCAUCUACAUAGUUGACUAAUUUUCGUAGGGUACAAUAUUUUCCAGUAUGUCUGACAAAAAAGCGAAUCUGGAUAAUCGAUCCCAACAGUUAAAUCCCAAUAAUACUCAGUUUUGGAAAAGUAGAGGAGAAAGUGGAGUACCCUCGCCAAGAUCAAGUGCUGGAAGUAACAUCAGUCCGAGUACCAAAAGUUCUAAUACUGGGAAUUCCACCACUGGGAAAAAGUAAUUGUAUCAUAAAUUCCUAAGAACUUUGUACAAUAUUUCUUUGUUUAUCAGUAUGUCAUCAUCAAAUGUAAUUGUAUAAUAAAUGUCUAAUACAUAUAUUACAAAAAUGUG